rnacentral:lncRNA from 1 species
GGGUGGAGAAAAGUGCCGCCCAAGGAAAGCCUCGCGAUGCAUCAGAAAAACAACGAAAAAUAUUUCUCCGAAGAGUCUUUCUGUGCGAAGCAACUCUUGGAUUUUUUUUGAUGUUUGCCAUAUGUUACAAACUUUUAGAUGGGCAUGUGAAAUUGGAAAGGGGCAUGUGAUCAUCUGGUUGGGCACGAGAUGUCACGUGGAGAGGGUGCGAGAUGAUUCUGAUCACAUUCUAUCGCUAACUAUAAAAGGGGUCCUGCGUCGGGGUUUUAAUUCAUUUAGAAAUCCUAAUCUCUUCUUUCUUACACAAGUCUUCUCUC